CCUUUCCGUAGCUUCACCUCCAGCCUGGAACAUCAACAUCAGUAUAGUAGAAUAUUUCACAGCCAUUCAACAAUUACAAUCUCAGUGCUGACUGACUACUUCAUGUUAUCUACCUGCCUAAAAUUAUACAAUGAGGAUUCAUGGUCAGAUUAGGUCUUGAUCUGGGUC